rnacentral:rRNA from 1 species
UACGGAGGGGGCGAGCGUUAUUCGGAAUUAUUGGGCGUAAAGGGCGCGUAGGCGGCGUGACAAGUCACUUGUGAAAUCUCCGGGCUUAACUCGGAACGGCCAAGUGAUACUGUCGUGCUAGAGUGCGGAAGGGGCUACUGGAAUUCUCGGUGUAGCGGUGAAAUGCGUAGAUAUCGAGAGGAACACCUGCGGCGAAGGCGGGUAGCUGGGCCGACACUGACGCUGAUGCGCGAAAGCGUGGGGAGCAAACAGG